GAUGAACGCUGGCGGCGUGCCUAAUACAUGCAAGUCGAGCGAACGGACGAGAAGCUUGCUUCUCUGAUGUUAGCGGCGGACGGGUGAGUAACACGUGGAUAACCUACCUAUAAGACUGGGAUAACUUCGGGAAACCGGAGCUAAUACCGGAUAAUAUUUUGAACCGCAUGGUUCAAAAGUGAAAGACGGUCUUGCUGUCACUUAUAGAUGGAUCCGCGCUGCAUUAGCUAGUUGGUAAGGUAACGGCUUACCAAGGCAACGAUGCAUAGCCGACCUGAGAGGGUGAUCGGCCACACUGGAACUGAGACACGGUCCAGACUCCUACGGGAGGCAGCAGUAGGGAAUCUUCCGCAAUGGGCGAAAGCCUGACGGAGCAACGCCGCGUGAGUGAUGAAGGUCUUCGGAUCGUAAAACUCUGUUAUUAGGGAAGAACAUAUGUGUAAGUAACUGUGCACAUCUUGACGGUACCUAAUCAGAAAGCCACGACUAACUACGUGCCAGCAGCCGCGGUAAUACGUAGGUGGCAAGCGUUAUCCGGAAUUAUUGGGCGUAAAGCGCGCGUAGGCGGUUUUUUAAGUCUGAUGUGAAAGCCCACGGCUCAACCGUGGAGGGUCAUUGGAAACUGGAAAACUUGAGUGCAGAAGAGGAAAGUGGAAUUCCAUGUGUAGCGGUGAAAUGCGCAGAGAUAUGGAGGAACACCAGUGGCGAAGGCGACUUUCUGGUCUGUAACUGACGCUGAUGUGCGAAAGCGUGGGGAUCAAACAGGAUUAGAUACCCUGGUAGUCCACGCCGUAAACGAUGAGUGCUAAGUGUUAGGGGGUUUCCGCCCCUUAGUGCUGCAGCUAACGCAUUAAGCACUCCGCCUGGGGAGUACGACCGCAAGGUUGAAACUCAAAGGAAUUGACGGGGACCCGCACAAGCGGUGGAGCAUGUGGUUUAAUUCGAAGCAACGCGAAGAACCUUACCAAAUCUUGACAUCCUUUGACAACUCUAGAGAUAGAGCUUUCCCCUUCGGGGGACAAAGUGACAGGUGGUGCAUGGUUGUCGUCAGCUCGUGUCGUGAGAUGUUGGGUUAAGUCCCGCAACGAGCGCAACCCUUAAGCUUAGUUGCCAUCAUUAAGUUGGGCACUCUAAGUUGACUGCCGGUGACAAACCGGAGGAAGGUGGGGAUGACGUCAAAUCAUCAUGCCCCUUAUGAUUUGGGCUAUACACGUGCUACAAUGGACAAUACAAAGGGCAGCGAAACCGCGAGGUCAAGCAAAUCCCAUAAAGUUGUUCUCAGUUCGGAUUGUAGUCUGCAACUCGACUACAUGAAGCUGGAAUCGCUAGUAAUCGUAGAUCAGCAUGCUACGGUGAAUACGUUCCCGGGUCU
rnacentral:rRNA from 1 species